UACGUAGGGUGCGAGCGUUAAUCGGAAUUACUGGGCGUAAAGCGCACGUAGGCGGUUUUUUAAGUCAGAUGUGAAAGCCCCGGGCUCAACCUGGGAAUUGCAUUUGAAACUGGGAAACUAGAGUGUGUGAGAGGGGGGUAGAAUUCCAAGUGUAGCGGUGAAAUGCGUAGAGAUUUGGAGGAAUACCAGUGGCGAAGGCGGCCCCCUGGCACGAUACUGACGCUCAGGUGCGAAAGCAUGGGGAGCAAACAGG
rnacentral:rRNA from 1 species